rnacentral:lncRNA from 10 species
CAGCUUAUAAAACAGAGUCCAAAAAAUGUACCACCGACUCUGCCCUAUCAGGAUAGGAAAUGACGGCAGGAAAACUCAAAACCCUCCCAUCACAAGCCCUUCCAGCAGAAUGGGUCACCCUUGCAACACCCAUCAGGAAACCUGGAUGACGAGGAACCGUCUGUGCAGCCACCCAAGACAGCCUGGAAAACAGGAGGGGAAAUGGGGACAGGCCUUAGCUGGAAUUUUAUGUUUUCCAUAAUUUAGAAUGAGACUAUCUAUCCUGCUCGACUACUUCCUUUCCUAAAGCCAUCCUGCUUGUAAAGGUGAAGAUCUGUCACCCUGAAAGGCUUAAUAACUCUUCUGACACUCAGUUUGUGUCUGUCCCCUAUGGGGAUGUCCCUCUACCCCUCAGAGCCACCUCGGGCUGAGGAUGAGUCCAGGAAACAACAAACAAGGGCUGAAAACCUGAGCUGUGCAGCAGCAGGGGGCAGUUCUCAUCAGCAGAAACAGCCAAGCAAAUGCUGGCCACAUGACGGGAAUCCAGUGUGAGGGUGACCUACGGGGACCCUUCCUCCUCCAAGGGCCUCUCUUUACCUUACAACAAUCACAAGCCCUGCCGAGCUGCGUGACCUCAGGACGGAGGGCUCUUUCUCGGUUUUGAGUCAGCUUAUAGGGGCAGCAGCCUUGGUCUUGAGAGACCUGUUAAAGAGUUGGCAGGCUGUGAUCAAAUGCAACAGGGACAUCACUAGCAGGGAUCAAGUUGUUUUCCCAGAAUGCUCAAUAAACAUACAUUGCUUUUACAAAAGAAAAUAGCGAAACUUUUA